rnacentral:misc_RNA from 1 species
AAACCUCUCACCUACUAUUGUGUUUAAUGCCAAUAGCAUGGUGGAUUUUGAAUGUUUUCAAAAUUUAUUUUGAAUCAUUUAAAUUUCAUUGUAUGCAGCCAUUAUUUCACUCAUUUCAAAAUGUUUAGUGAAUGGUUCCCAAGUGCAAUAAAGACUAAAAAUCUCUUAUCACUCUUGAGUACCGCCAAAUUCCUAGGCAAUAAAUUUUGAUUUGUUUAUGAAUAAUAGUUUGUUAUCUCAAUUAAUUAAUGAUUUGUUUAUUUUGCGAAAGUAAAAUAAAUAAUUCAAAA